rnacentral:rRNA from 1 species
CGAGGAGGUAGGGCUUACGCUCGCGUUUGUCUGUUAUAUCUUGGUGGACGAGUUGUCGCGGUUGGGACUGAGGUGCCUACAACGUGCUUUUGAGUGAGUUUGUGUCUCCGUGUGCGCCGUGUGUGGAUAGCUUGCUAUGUAUGUGCGGUUGUGUGUGGAUUGAUGCGGGCUUUAACUUGUUGCCGUUCGGGACGUUGGCGAAAUGGAGCGAUCCGACCCGUCUUGAAACACGGACCAAGGAGUCUAACAUGUGUGCAAGUGUUAGGGUGUGGAAACCCCAGCGCGAAAUGAAAGUGAAGGGCAGCGCAAGUUGUCUGAGGUAGGAAACGUUGCGGACUUCGGUCUGCGGCGUGGCACUAUCGACCGAUCAUGAACCUUCGUGGUGAAAGAUUUGAGUUUGAGCACAUAUGUUGGUACCCGAAAGAUGGUGAACUAUGCCUGAGUAGGGUGAAGCCAGGGGAAACUCUGGUGGAAGCUCGUAGCGAUUCUGACGUGCAAAUCGAUCGUCAAACUUGGGUAUAGGGGCGAAAGACUAAUCGAACCAUCUAGUAGCUGGUUCCCUCCGAAAUUUCCCUCAGGAUAGCAGCAACUUAUUUACGAUAGUUUUAUGAGGUAAAGCGAAUGAUUAGAGGAUUCGGGGAAGAAACUUCCUCGACCUAUUCUCAAACUUUAAAUCUGUAAGACCUGCAGGUUUCUUAAU